GCACAACUGGAGUAUUCGCCAGCCUUGGAUAUACCUGAGCCGAUAAUCAUAUCUACAGGGUGAUGACUUUUUGUAUUCUGUUGUGUACGCCCGCAUUGCUUGCAAUGUAUCGGGAAACCUGAAAGAGCAAUGAUUCGCCCGCCUUGAACUUUUUGGUUCAUGGGCAUUACCUUGGCAGCGAUACUUUGGUUUUUUU
rnacentral:other from 1 species